GGACGAUAAAGGCAAAUCCUGAGUGAUCAGGGGGCGCAAAGGAAAGGGUCUUUUGUAGGGGCGUAUUGCAUACGCCCUCAUUGCAGGAAGAUAGCCUUACUGCGGAA
rnacentral:ncRNA from 1 species